rnacentral:rRNA from 1 species
UACGAAGGGGGCUAGCGUUGUUCGGAAUUACUGGGCGUAAAGCGCACGUAGGCGGACAUUUAAGUCAGGGGUGAAAUCCCAGAGCUCAACUCUGGAACUGCCUUUGAUACUGGGUGUCUAGAGUAUGGAAGAGGUGAGUGGAAUUCCGAGUGUAGAGGUGAAAUUCGUAGAUAUUCGGAGGAACACCAGUGGCGAAGGCGGCUCACUGGCCCGAUACUGACGCUGAGGUGCGAAAGCGUGGGGAGCAAACAGG